GAGGCGGCAGAACAGUGGGCCAGGUGGAGCGGUCCAUAGAAAUCGACGGUGACGGGGUCCGGCCUAUAAAGGGCGCUCCGCAGUUGCCCCCUCGCCAUUUUGCCCACGGGUAGAUAUGACAGCUACAUUUGGAUGAGUGACAAUUAUAAACGGACCGGAGCGGAGGGUGACCAGUUUGCAUCAAACGGAUCUUCCUGUUGGUUCGCAAAGAAAUUGAUAACUCACUCCUUGGGAUGCACAAGAGUCAAUUCAUUCAAAUGUUAUCGUGCUGCUGUUCCCCAAGAAACCGACAGUCAAUAAGUACUCCUAAGGAAAAAGAGAAGGAUAUGAAAGGCCUUCAGAAGUCUCUUAAAAUACCAAAGCAGAAAUUCAAUCAGGUAGAAGACAUGAUAGGUCCAAGUGGAAGUGCAUCAGUAGCAACAAAUUUACUCUUAAUCCUUUUAAGAUGAAAGUAAAUCUGAUACCUCUAAAUUGGAAGGACCAUUAAUACUCAAUGAGUCUAAAAUAAAACAUUCAACGAGACAAAAUCAGAUUCAACAAGAACAUAAUUUGUUUAGUGAGACUGAAAACAAAAGAAAUCUCUGCUGAGAUUUUAAAAUUAAAUAAAUGGCACAAAUAAUAUUAGUAAAAGAACAUUAAGAUCCAGGAAAUUCAUACAGUGUUACUUGGUUCAACAAAGAUCGAUGAUGAAAGUUUGAUUUUAUAUAUCACAUCCUAGGAAAGUAGUGUGAAGGAGAUGGUUGAGCAUCAUACCAGUAUAACUUCACUAUCCAUAGAUAGAUUCUAUAAAGGUGGUAAAAGGCUGUAAAAAGGUAGCCAAAGUUUCAUCACAUUUAGAAAAGGAGAAACCUAUGAAGAAUAGGUCUAGAGCACAGCAGAUAGCAGCAGAAAGCAGCAGAUAGAAAAUUUGAGAUUGAAGAGUUGUAAUUUCACUUUGUCAGAAAUACAGAGAACUCAAGUGUCUGUCAAAAUUUCAGGGGGAGCUUUAAAAGUGAAGCAAAAAAAGCAGGGAGUAAUAUCAAGAUCUAGAAAUGCGAAAAAGUGAAUGUUUCGCACAGAUGAAAAAAAUCUGCACAGAUUGCCAGGAAACCUCCAGUCAAAGGAGGUCCCUCUUAUGAUUUAGCAUCAGGAAGAAAACUAAUAAGGAAUUGCAUACAUUUAGCCCUUUGCUGAAUGAAACAGAUAUAUCACGGAGAGAGAAUGAAAAGGAAUAUAUGUUAAGAUUUUGAAAUAGAAGCAAAGGUGAUAACAAAAUCACAAGAAUCUUCCGGUAGUUUAGUUAUUUUUCUUUCACAAAAGAGAUGAGGUGUUAAUAAGAAUGAAGAGAAUUGUGAAUAAAGGAAAUUCUCCUUUGAGAUAUAGAAACAAAUUAAAAAUAAGGAAAUGUUCUCUAGUGAGUCACAUAUAUAAAGCAUGCACAGUUUUUAUGUCACUAAAAUCUCAAAAUAAAAAUUGUGUUCUAGAAGAGAUUACAUUGUAGUUCAUGUUGUCUCUACCAAGAUGUUUCUAGGAGAAGAAACUGAAACUGCUCAAUACAAUAUAUCUUUGUGAUCUAGAACCAGAAAUGUGUUAAGAUUGCUUAACUCCUCCAGUAUUGCACCUGAGGAACUUUACCUAAAGGAUGAAAAGCUUGUGAAAAUUCAGAAGAAUCCAAAUGAUCCAACAGAAAAUAGCCAUUUUUUUAAGUCUGAAAGGAAAAAAAGAAAAUGGAUAUAGGAUUAAACGGCUCGAAUGUACUAAAAUCUAGAACUUGUGCAGAGAAAACCACAGUUUCUUAGGGAUCUUUAAAAAUUUGAUAGUACCUCUAGAAAUUCUACCUGUAAUUAGAAAUAGAUACUAAGUUGGUAGAGCUGCAAAAAAUCUCGUGCACUCAGUGCAAUCGAGAUACAGUAAUAACAGAUGAAGAAAAACUUUCAAAUCCUGGAAAAUCAACGGAGACAGGAAGUAAAAAGGUCUGUUGAAGCUUAGUGCAGUCAACAUAGUUUAGACCCUGGACAUCUCACCCUAGUGCUUAAAUGGCAGAGGAAGCAUGGGAACCAGAUUUAGAAAUACGGAGCUGUGAGAUGUGCCAGUACUAGCAAAAAUGGCCCGUUUGCUGCUGACAUGACUCAAACGUCUCUAAUAGGAACCAAACGUAAAAAUGAUCUGGGUCUGCAAAAAUCUGCUAACCUUAAAAGAUGACUUGUCCAUCACUGCCUCCAAAGACAAUUGUAACAGCAGGAGAAGCCAAAAACUUUUUUAAACAUUUGGGAACCACUAGCAUCAAAACAGAGGCAACUGCUGUUGAAAAUUUGAAAUCCCAGUGACAACUGCCCAAGUGCAAGAUCUCUUCAAAGAUCUUGCAUCACCAAAAGAUCUUUCAUCACCAAAAGAAAUCCAGUCAGAGCUAAAAGCACAGCAUUAAAAAAUAUAAAACAAACCACACUCCAGACAAGAAUGCUUUAUCAGGCAAUGAAAGAAAUUGCACCUUAAGGGAAAUCAACCAUCAGAAGUUGAAACAGAUCUUGAUGUGAGUGGAAAGAAGCAAAUGUUCUGUGAAAGAGGUGAAGAUGGAAGAAUGCCAUAAAGGGACACUGUCUUGAACUUCAAAGGAGCAGUAUGGUGCAUUGGAUAGAAUAAUGCCUUCAGAAUCCCCAAUUCAAAUGAUUCCUCUUAAGACUAUUUCAGUGGAUGUGAUCGUAAAAACAUGGACACUCAAAAGAGAUGUUAGCCUUCAUUCUCAAAGAGGGUCAGUGACAUCAGGAGGGUGAUGUCUCAACUUGCAAGGGGUUUGGAUUUAAGUGAAACGGGGCUGUGCAGUCAUCAGCCCCACUCUCGCUUCCAUUGCCAUGAGUCCAGUGACAGGACAUAGGUCAAGAUGAUGAGCGACGGCCUAGAAACUGAGAUGGAAGUUCUGUCGUCUCAUUCAUCUGAACCAGAAUUCUAUACCUGGAGGGGGUAUUGACCUGUUGGGGAUUUUUACAAAUCACCGAGCCCGUUUCCCCAUCUGCAAAAUUAGGAACAAAAAACAGGAUCUGUGAUCAUCAGAGAAGGGAAUUCCCAGUGUGAAGGAUGGUAAGAUGGAAACAUUGGAACAAAGGAGCCAGGUUCAAAUCCUGUUUCUGCCUCUUGCUACUUGUGUGAUUUUGAGCAAGUCACUUCACUUCUCUGGGCCUGGAUUUCCUCAUCUGUAAAAUGAAGGGUUGGAUUAUAAAUGGUAUCUAUGAUUGCUACUAUUCCUAAAUCCACGAGCUUAUCAGUUCUCUCCUUAACCAAGUGGGAGAUGGUGUCUCCUGUAUUCGAGAGGAUUAUCCGAAGCUUAAAAAGUUGGGAGAGUUUUCGGAAGUCAUCUAGUUCAAUAUACCGGCAGAAUCCCUGCAAAAGACAUGUGCGACAUUGAGUUGACCAGAAUUGGCUUAAGGACCUCCAGUGAGAGAGAACUCACCAUCUCUAGAGCUUUUUGAGAAUUACCUGAGGCUUGGAGGGAUUAAUCCAUUUGAUAGCUAUAAAUGUCAGAGGGAUGAAGUCUUCUCAGCCCUGAACUCAGGGUGCUAGCCCCCAUGCCAUGAAGCUAAAGUUCAUUUAACCCUGUACCACAAACUGUCCCUAUAUGAAUUUGGACACGUGAUAUAUUGGACACGUACAUGGAGUACACGUGUCUAUAAAACAAGGACAAGAGCUUUUGUGGAAGUCAAAAAGUACUAUGUAGCACUUUGUAUAGACACUAUGCUAAGUGUUGGAAUACAAACUUACGUCCUUGAGGAGCUUAUAGUCUAAUGGAGCUUCCCUGUCACAUUUUCCACCCCCUACCUUGUUUUUUCCCUAAUCUUGCUUUCACAAUAUUUUUUAUUGUGGGAGCUUAAAAGUAGAUAAGAGGCUAUACUAGGGCAUGCUAAAGAGUCCUGAGGGUUUGACGAGCAGACUGAAGCUGACCUGGUUCUGGGAGGAACCAGCCAAUCAGAGAAAGAUGCCACAUUGUGGAAGAGGGUAGAGUGAACUUCCAGAGUGAAGAGAUUUCUGUGGCAAAGUAGAGAAAGUGUGGAGUCAGGAACAGCUGCCUAGAGGGGGAUGAAUUAUGUCUGACAAGAGUAUUGUGAGGCAUAAAUGACAUAAGAUGUGGAAAGUAUUUAGAAACUCUAAAAAGAGAUAAUUAUAAAGAAUAGUAUCUCACUUUAUAGACGGGGAAACUGAGACUUAGAGGGAAAGUCAUUUAAGUUACAUGAGGACUGAGAAUCAGAGUUGGGAUCUUCUGUCCCAGUGCUGAUGGACCCUUUGUGGCUGAUAUACAAGAGGAUAAAGGCAAUGCUUGGUCAGACGUGGCAGGCAUAUCUGGGUUAUGAUCUGCGGGUUGAAGAAAGUGCUCGCCUCAAAGAUCACAUUGGUGGUACAAAAAAGUAAAUGCUUGUGCAUGUAUAAAUCCCCCAAAGUCCCUGAAGAAAGGACGAUAGCUAAUUGACAUUCACAGACAUUAUUUCAGAACCAUUGUUGCUGAUUAUCUGCUCUUUGGCAAGUCUCUUCCUCUCCUUCAGCCUCAGUUUCCCUAUCCAUAAAAUGAGAUGAGUGGACACAAAACCAUGUUUGCAGUCCUCUCUGGUUCGGAAUCUUAUAAUGUAGUGCCCAGCAAGGGAGCUUGGAAUACUGUGGGUGCUUAGUAAAUGUUUGGUGAAUUAAGGGAGAUUUGGGAGAAGAUAUUUAAUAUAUUUGAUGGACUGAGAAAUGAAGAUAAAAGACACAUUUCACAGCUUUCAGUUCUUAGCCUAAGGCUAUCCAUCCCCUGGGGCAGGAUGGGUGGUUUUAAUCCUUCAGACCUUGAGGCCAGAGCCAGAGGAAAAACGUGAACAGUUUUUCUUCAAAAGCCCCAAAAUGUUUCUACCCCUGCUCUCCUGUCUACACUUCUGAGGGAAUAUGGAAAAAAAAAGUUGGCAGGCUAGUUGGAGAGAUCCCAAGGAAUUGGAAGAAUUCUCUCUGAAUGGUGCAAUCUGGUUGCAAUUGGGGGCCCCUUGGUGGUGGUGUGUAGUACUGCAGGUAAGGAUGUAACAGGGAUCCUGUUUCCUGUUAACAGUAUCUAUAGUUUUCACAAAGUUUGCUCCAAAUAUCUGAGAAAUCAUAGAAUCAAAAAUUGAGUUCUGUGCUCAAAAGUUUCCAUGUUACAUAGAGGGAUACUGAAGCCCAGGGUGGAGCAUCACAUUUCUAAAUUCACAGUUAAGUUGGGGCAGUGAAAAAUGACUUUUGGAAUCAGACUUUUGAGUUCAAAUUCAAGAUUUGUUCCUUAACACCAGUAGGAAUUAGGAGAGAUCUCUACAUGACUCUUGGCUUCAGUUUCCUCAUCUGUAAAGUGAAAUGUUUAGGCUAGAUGGCUGUCAAGGUUUCUUUCAGCUCUUAAUUCUAUGAUGCUACUAAAGUCUUAAGAGAUUUCUAUUUUUUUAAAUUAAGAUUAAGAUAUGCCAAAAUAAAAUCUUUAAACCAAAGUUUCUCCUCAGGCUAUAGAAGUCACAACUUUUCUUGCUUGUUAAGGAAUUUUAAUCAUUUAAUUCUAAGUACUUUUCUGAUUCUAUGGCUGCCAAUGAUUACAUAAAACUGGACUGGUCCUUAAGAGAUCUUUUAGUUCAGUUGAGACAGAUCUCAGUGAUUUGAAAAUCAGUGGGAAGAUGCUGUUUCCAGAUGUUUCCUCAGCAAAUCUAUGGUAAAUUCAUCAAAUUCCAACUACUCCAAAUUCCUUCCUUCAGAUUAAGCCAUUCUCUUUAAAAGCAAAAGUAUGGGCAGUUAGAUGGCACAGGGGAUGUAGCACUAGCUCUGUGGAGUCAGAAGGACCCAAGUUAAAAUCCAGCCUCAGUUAGACACUUAACACUAGUUUAUAGCAAGUCACUUAAUCUCAAUUGCCUCACAAAAUAUAAUCUUCUGAAGCCAUUAAGUUCUAAGAUUUAUUCCAAAAGCUCUCAGAAAAAAUCCAAAACCUAGUAUACUGCUUUGCUGCUUAGGAAAGUCGCUGAUCACUUUGCCUCAGUUUAAUUGGAUGCUAAUUUUUUUUUUUUAUAACUCAUGAUUGUGUGAUAACCUGAUGACUUGGGAAUACUGAGUGGACCCUAAAGGACCUUUUCAUUCUGGAAGAUUAUAAUUGCAUGACAUCCUUAGUGUGAAAGAAUUAACAUCUAUUUUUAAAAGUGAUUGAAAUUAGCCAAGAAUAAGCUUUCAUAGAAUUCUCAAUUCUGGAAUGGUACCUGUGACCAUCUGGUACAACUUAUACCUUAAGAAAUUAUCUGCAACAUGUCUGACAAGUAGGCAACAAGGUUUUUCUUGAAGCCCUUCAAUGAAGGGAUGCUUAUCUCUUCCCAAGAAAGCCAUUGCACAAUGCAUCACACACAGCAGCGCUCAAUAUUGUCACAAAAUAGGGAAAAAAUGAGCAAGAAAUCGAAAAGAACCUUAACCAGAGAAUGCUACUGUCAUGAUAAAAGGCCACCAAAAUACUAAUUCAGAAGAGGACAAAAUGCCCACAUGGGAAAUCUCAAAGGGUGAUAGGAAUUGGUCUCAAAAGAGGCAUCUUGGAAGUUUGCAUAAAGGAUUUUAAAAGGCAAAUGAGAAAAAUUGGAAAAAAAGGUGAGUCAAUAGCUUGGAAAAGGACAAAAACUGACUAGUCCUUUAAAUGCAAUUGGCCAAAUCCAUUGAAGAAAACAUCUUAAAACAAUUUAAAAUUAAAAGAUUUAAAAGCUAACUGAAGAAAAAUUAUAAACUAAACAAGAAUUGGGCAAAUGGAAGCUGACUUCACUGGAAAAAUGGCUGACCUGAAAAAUCGAUCCAUGGGAGAGAGAAUUGAAAAAUUUUGACCUACCUGAAGGCCAUGACCAAAAAAAGAGCUUGGAUAGUAUUCUCUGAGAGAUCAUCAAGGAAAACUGCUCUGAUAUUCUAGAACCAGAGCAAAAUAGUCAUUGAAAGAAUGUAUCAAUCUGUGGGGGAAAAGGAAAGAAACUGCUGCAAAACUCCAGAACACUUAACUCUCAAGGAAAAAAUUCUGCAAGCUGCCAGAAGAGAGAAUUCAUAUAUCAAGAAGUCAGGAUUACCCAGCAUCUGACGGCUUCUACAAUGAAGGAUCAGAGGACCUUGAAUUCUAUACUCCAGAAAGCAAAGGACCUGAGAUUACAACCAAGAAUCAACUACCCAGCAAGACUCCUAUCUUUCAGGGGAAAGAGUCCCUUCAAAGAAGGGAAUCAAUUUCCAUUUUAAAUAAAGACCAGAACUCAACAGGAAAUUUGAUUUUUGAACACAGGUCUCAAGAAGUACCUCAAAAAGGUAAAUGAGAAGGAGAAAACUCACAUUAUUUAAAGGUUAAACUUUUUGCAUCCCUAGAUGGGAAAAUAUUUAACUCUUGAGAGCUAUAUCUUUUAUUAGGACUGUUAUACAGAGAAUAGUUAUACAUAAGACACAGGGGGUGAGUAUAAAUUUACUCUGAAACAUUUAAAAAAUUAAGGGGGUGAGAAAGAUUGUACUUGAAGAGGAAAGGGGAGGUAAAAUCGGAUAAAUGAGAUUUCACAAAGUGGCACAAAACACAACAGAGGAAAAGGAGUAUUGUCUGAAUCAAAGUGGGAAUAACAUUCAGAUAUAGAAAUUUUUCUUCUAUGAGGAAGUAGGAGAAAAAAGGGGAAAUGAAUGGGCUGGAUAGAAGGGAGGGCAGGAGAAAGGGGGUAAGAGAAGAGAAGAGCAGUGAUAGAAGGGUAGAUUAAGGUCAGUGUAAGUCAGAAAUCACUAAGGACUGUGUGGAAAGAAGAAAAAUACAUAAACAGGGAAAAAAUAGGAUGGAGGGAAACACUAGUAACACUGAAUAGGAUGAAUUCUCCCAUUAAAAGGGAUAUAGCAGAGUGGAUUAAACAGAAUCAUACAAUGUUUUUAUAAGAAACAUAUCUGAAACAGAUACCAAGAACAGCAUCUAAAUUCUUAAGAGAAGUUAACCCAGUUACAGGAAUAGACAGCAAAACUACUAAUGGGGCACCUCAACCUCUAAAACUAAACACGGCGAAAUAGAAUUUUAGAAAAUAGGUUAAUUUAGUUAAUGAUAGACCUCUGGAGAAAAUAGAAAGGAAAUAUAUAUACACUUUGCUCAACAGUACAUGGCCUGUAAAAAUUGACCAUGUAUUAGGACAUAAAGGCAUAAAAACUCACAAAUGCAGAAACGCAUCAAUAGUAAAUGCUUCCUUUUCAGAUCAUGAUGCAAUAAUUCAAUAAAGGGUCAGGGACAAAAAUUUCAUCUAAGAGAAUAACAAAUUGUUCAUGAAUGGAUUGGGCAUGCAAACUAGAAAACUGGAAAAAAAUACCCCUCACCCAAUUAAAUAUUAGAAAUUCUGAAAAUUAAAAGUGAUAAAAUUGUGAGAAAACUAAAAAUUAAGAACUGGUUUUGGGGAAAAUGGGACAAAAUAAACCUUUGGUUAAUUUGAUUAGGAAAAGGAAAAACCAAAUUACCAGCAUUAAAUUAAAAGGAUGAACUUACCUACCAAUGGAGAGGAAAUUUUGCUAUUUUGCCCAAAUAUAUUUACAAAAUAUAUUAGCAGAAAUUAUAUAACCCCAUUUUAGAAAAAUGAAGCCAGUCAUCUCUCCCUAAGAAAAAAAUGUUCAAGGACAAUUGUAAUACCAAGUAAACUAUUUGGAAAAAUAGGCAAAGGAGUAUUGCCACUAACUUGUAUAAAGAGCCAAAACGCAUCUCCCUAAUCAAAAAUUUUUAAAUGGCAAGAUAUGGCCAAGUGAAUGCAGGGCUGGUUCAAUAUAAGGAAAGCUAUUUGCAUAAUUAUCAAAAUUAAUCAGAGAAAUUGGAUGCCAUUCCCAAUAAGAUCAGGAUAAUGCCCAUUUUUAUUGCUCAAUAUACGAAAUGUUGGCUUGAGCAAUAAGGAAUUGGAUAAAACAUUUUGCAGAUAGGAUAUACCUAGAAAAUCCUAAAGAAUCACCCAAAAAUCUACUUGAAAUGGCUUUAGCGAAGUUGCAGGAUCAGCAUUUCUAUUUGUGAGUAAUAAGCCCAGUAGCAAGUAAUAAGCCUAUUUAAAAUUGUAGAUGGAAUAUUUGGGUGUCUUGCCAAAAACCCAGGAACUAUAUGAACAUAAUUACAAAACACAAGUCGGAGCUAAACAAUUGGAACAAAGAUUACCUAUAGGUAGGCUGAGCUAAUGACAAUUCUACCUAAAUUAGCUGACUUGUUCAGUGUCAUAUUAAAAUGCCAAAAAUAUUUUAUACAGCUAGGAAAAAAAUUGAUCUGGAAUAACAAAAGAUCAAGGAAAUUAAUGAAAAAUGCCACUGGGCCUAGCAGUACCAGACUUAAAACUAGUAUUAAGCGUCAUCAAAACAUGGUAUUGGCUAAGAAAUAGUGUGAAGGUGACACAAUUGAUGACUUGAGUAAUCUAGUGUUUGAUAAACCCCAAACCUCCAGCUUUUGGGAUAACUAUUUUGAUAAAAAUUGGUGGGAAAACUGGAAAAUUGACUCAAACUCUGUAUAGACCCACAUCUCAUACCUUAUAUCAAAAUAAGGUCAAAAUGAGUACAUGGAUUCAGUUUAAAGGGUGUUAAUGUAAAAUUAGAGCAAGAAAAGUUUACUUCUCAGAUGUUUGGGGAAGGGGUAAUUUAUGGCCAAAGAACGAAACAUUACAAAAUGCAAAAUGGGCAUCUUUGAUUAAAGGUCUGCACAAAUUAACUCUAAUUUAUAAAAAAUCAAGCCAUUCUCCAAUUGAAAAAUGGUCAAAGGAUAUGAACAGACAAUUCUCAGAUGAAGAAAUUGAAACUAUUUCUAGUCAUAUGAAAAGAUGCUCCAAGUCAUUAUUAAUCAGAGAAAUGCAAAUUAAGACAACUCUAAGAUACCACUACACACCUGUCAGAUUGGCUAAGAUGACAGGAAAAAAUAAUGAUUGUUGAGGGAUGCGGAAAACUGGGACAUUGAUGCAUUGUUGGUGGAGUUGUGAACGAAUCCAACCAUUUUGGAGAGUAGUUUGGAACUAUGCUCAAAAAGUUAUCAAACUGUGCAUACCCUUUGAUCCAGC
rnacentral:lncRNA from 1 species